CUUCUUCUUCUUCUUCGUCUUCUAAUACUACCAGGUUGUGGAACAAUGGGUGCCGGUGGCAGAAUGUCUGUUCCUCCUUCACCUAAGCAGUUGGAAUCUGAUGUCUUGAAGCGAGUUCCUUACUCAAAGCCACCAUUCACUCUUGGUCAGAUUAAGAAAGCUAUACCCCCUCAUUGUUUUGAGCGUUCUGUUCUCCGCUCAUUUUCUUAUGUCAUUCAAGACCUGACCAUUGCCUCUAUCUUCUAUUACAUUGCCACCAAUUACUUCCACCUCCUCCCUCAGCCUCUCUCUUAUGUGACCUGGCCAAUUUACUGGUCCCUCCAAGGCUGUGUCUUAACUGGUGUUUGGGUUAUAGCACACGAGUGUGGGCAUCAUGCCUUCAGUGACUAUCAAUGGCUUGAUGACACAGUAGGCCUCAUUCUCCACUCCUGCCUGCUAGUUCCUUACUUUUCAUGGAAACAUAGCCACCGCCGUCAUCACUCUAACACAGCUUCCCUUGAAAGAGAUGAAGUAUUUGUCCCAAAGAAGAAAUCCAACAUCCGUUGGUUCUCCAAAUACCUUAACAACCCACUAGGCCGUGUCCUUACACUUAUCAUCACUCUUACCCUUGGCUGGACCCUUGGCUGGCCUCUAUACUUAGCAUUUAAUGUUUCAGGAAGGCCUUAUUAUCGUUUUGCCUCCCACUAUGACCCAUAUGGACCUAUCUAC
rnacentral:misc_RNA from 1 species